AAUAACCAAAGAUGGUAGCAGGGUUUAAGGUGGGGUUAGUAAUCACACGAACAUCACCGCCACCGGGUGCCCAGGUGUCAUACAAACCACCAAAGAACAUAGCUUUCAAUACCAACAACAGGGCACCACAACCCAAGAUAAUGAGGUGGAAACCAAUAAUGUUGGUCAUCUUGUUCUUAUCUUUCCA
rnacentral:antisense_RNA from 1 species